rnacentral:misc_RNA from 1 species
UAGAGACAGGCUCAACCCCAUGGGA